GGGGUUGAGUCUGGCUGGUUAGGGGUUGAGUCUGGCUGGUUAGGGGUUGAGUCUGGCUGGUUAGGGGUUGAGUCUGGCUGGUUAGGGGUUGAGUCUGGCUGGUUAGGGGUUGAGUCUGGCUGGUUAGGGGUUGAGUCUGGCUGGUUAGGGGUUGAGUCUGGCUGUUUGAGGGGUUGAUCUGGCUGUUUGAGGGGUUGAGUCUGGCUGGUUAGGGGUUGAGUCUGGCUGUUUGAGGGGUUGAGUCUGGCUGGUUAGGGGUUGAGUCUGGCUGUUUGAGGGGUUGAGUCUGGCUGUUUGAGGGGUUGAGUCUGGCUGUUUGAGGGGUUGAGUCUGGCUGUUUGAGGGGUUGAGUCUGGCUGUUUGAGGGGUUGAGUCUGGCUGGUUAGGGGUUGAGUCUGGGUUGGCUACCUGCCAAUAUGGUGGUAGAAAUGGAUAGACAGUCAGUGUCUGAAAUGGCACCCUAUUCCCUAUAUAAUGGCCUACUUCUGACCAGGGCCUUAAGGGCCCAAUUCCCUAUUUACUACACUACAUUUGACUGGGGGCUCUGGUUGACAGUAGUGCACUAAAUAAGGAAUAUGGUGCCAUUUGGGAUGUUUAUGCUCUGAUGCCAACUUCUUCUGCUGCCAGUCUACUGACUCUACUGUUGGUUUGAUUAGGAUCGUCAUCGAUCAAUAGAAUAUAAUAAUACUUUUUUGUUUUGAUCUUAAGGAUUCUGGUUAAGCUGAUCGUUUAGACCCAACAGUGUCUGUGAAAUUGUCCCCCUUUUGUGAGCCGUUCCAUUUGAAUUUCCUAAUCAAAUUUCCUAAUCAAAUUUCCUAAUCAAAUUUCCUAAUCAAAUUUCCUAAUCAAAAUCAAACGAUACUCGUAAAAGUCCUUCUUCGCAUCCUGUCUCCUGCUUUGUUUCUGACACGUUGAGAAGGAGCUGAGAGGAAAGAAGGUGAGGAAUCAAGGAAGCACUUUUGAGAUUCAUUCAAAGCCUACACAUAUUAUUGCUACAGCCUUCCCUGUAGCUCAGUUGGUAGAGCAUGGUGUUUGCAACACCAGGGUUGUGGGUUUGAUUCCCACAGGGGGCCAGCACAGAAAAGAAAUGUAUACAUUCACUACUGUAAGUCGCUCUGGAUAAGAGCGUCUGCUAAAUGACUAAACAUUUUUUUUUAAAUAGCUCGUCUUUUUUAAGAGGAAUUGUUUUGUCGGUGACUGAUCCGAUUUGUAUUUUCCCCCAAAGACCACUAGAGUACUGCGAUAUAGAGUUAAACGUCCAGAUUGUAAAAUAUACAUCUUUCUCUUCUAAAGGUGAGCAGUAGGUUUGAAUAUUCCCGUUAACUUUCACCCAAAUUUGCCGGUUUUUCCAGAAAUCCUUGUUUGGAAUAUUCCUGGAAUUACAAGGGAAUAGCCAGGAAAUCCAGCCAGGAUUUUGAAGAAAGCUCAGGGGAAUUUUGCAACUAGUUUGAUGUAAAGAUCGUUCUUCAAUGUAUCCCUUGUCUAACCGAUUUGUGAUGUGUCAAUCACCAUGGAAGCUAUCAGUGGACCUGUCAAUCAAUCAAACAGUAACUACUGAUGUCCAAAUGAAGUGGACUCCUUUUAAUGAAGUAGUUUUAUCAUAUUAAUAUAAUUAAUUAAUUGAACAAAUUGUUAUUUUUUUCCCCUUCGUUUUUCUAUCACACAAUUGUCUAAUGUAUGUAAUAUUGUUUUGAGAUUUAUUGAUGAACGAUAUCAAUAAAAAUGAGAAGCGUUUCUCAAACACAUCUCUACCUACUUUA
rnacentral:lncRNA from 1 species